rnacentral:pre_miRNA from 1 species
AGUAGGAUAACUGGGUUAAAUGGUGGUGGUGGUGGUUCCAUUUCAGGUUUUCUGAGGAAUCUCCAUACUGCUUUCCAGAGUUGUUGCACCAAUUUGCAGUCCCACCAGCAAU